rnacentral:rRNA from 1 species
AUUGAACGCUGGCGGCAUGCCUUACACAUGCAAGUCGAACGGCAGCAUGAUCUAGCUUGCUAGAUUGAUGGCGAGUGGCGAACGGGUGAGUAAUACAUCGGAACGUGCCCUGUAGUGGGGGAUAACUAGACGAAAGAUUAGCUAAUACCGCAUACGACCUGAGGGUGAAAGUGGGGGACCGCAAGGCCUCAUGCUAUAGGAGCGGCCGAUGUCUGAUUAGCUAGUUGGUGAGGUAAAGGCUCACCAAGGCGACGAUCAGUAGCUGGUCUGAGAGGACGAUCAGCCACAUGGGGACUGAGACACGGCCCAGACUCCUACGGGAGGCAGCAGUGGGGAAUGUUGGACAUUGGGCGAAAGCCUGAUCCAGCAAUGCCGCGUGUGUGAAGAAGGCCUUCGGGUUGUAAAGCACUUUUGUCCGGAAAGAAAUGGCUCUGGUUAAUACCUGGGGUCGAUGACGGUACCGGAAGAAUAAGGACCGGCUAACUACGUG